rnacentral:rRNA from 1 species
GACGAACGCUGGCGGCGUGCCUAAUACAUGCAAGUAGAACGCUGAAGAGAGGAGCUUACUCUUCUUGGAUGAGUUGCGAACGGGUGAGUAACGCGUAGGUAACCUGCCUUGUAGCGGGGGAUAACUAUUGGAAACGAUAGCUAAUACCGCAUAACAAUGGAUGACACAUGUCAUUUAUUUGAAAGGGGCAAUUGCUCCACUACAAGAUGGACCUGCGUUGUAUUAGCUAGUAGGUGAGGUAAUGGCUCACCUAGGCGACGAUACAUAGCCGACCUGAGAGGGUGAUCGGCCACACUGGGACUGAGACACGGCCCAGACUCCUACGGGAGGCAGCAGUAGGGAAGCUUCGGCAAUGGGGGCAACCCUGACCGAGCAACGCCGCGGGAGUGAAGAAGGGUUUCGGAUCGUAAAGCUCUGUUGUAAGUCAAGAACGGGUGUGAGAGUGGAAAGUUCACACUGUGACGGUAGCUUACCAGAAAGGGACGGCUAACUACGUG